UACGGGGGAGCAAGCGUUGUUCGGAUUUACUGGGCGUAAAGGGCGCGUAGGCGGUCAGCACAAGUCAGUUGUGAAAUCUCCGGGCUUAACCCGGAAAGGUCAACUGAUACUGUGCGACUAGAGUGCGGGAAGGGGCAACUGGAAUUCUUGGUGUAGCGGUGAAAUGCGUAGAUAUCAAGAGGAACACCUGCGGCGAAGGCGGGUUGCUGGGCCGACACUGACGCUGAAGCGCGAAAGCUAGGGGAGCAAACGGG
rnacentral:rRNA from 1 species